rfam:Myotis davidii contig54129, whole genome shotgun sequence.
GGCUGUUCUCAGGUGAGGAACUCUGGAAUCGGGCUCCCUCCUCUCUGGUUCUUUGGUGCGUCACCUGAGAACCGCU